rnacentral:rRNA from 1 species
UACGAAGGGGGCUAGCGUUGCUCGGAAUCACUGGGCGUAAAGGGCGCGUAGGCGGCCAUUCAAGUCAGAGGUGAAAGCCCAAGGCUCAACCUUGGAACUGCCUUUGAUACUGUUUGGCUUGAGACCGGUAGAGGUAAGUGGAACUGCGAGUGUAGAGGUGAAAUUCGUAGAUAUUCGCAAGAACACCAGUGGCGAAGGCGGCUUACUGGACACAUAUUGACGCUGAGGUGCGAAAGCGUGGGGAGCAAACAGG